UUGAACAGAUUUCCAGUGAAUUCUGGGAAGUGUAGUAACACCUGAUAACAGCCAGAGCUGAGCCUUUAUUCUUUAAAUUUGAGUUUCCUGUCAGAAUAAAAGCCUUCUUCAGCUACUCACCGUGGUAAACAUCAUAGCCUCCCCUCUCAUCUGAUUGGCUUAUGCCCGCCACAUAUUUUAUAGGAUCAUCACUCUUCCCACUGUUGAUGAUGUCAUCAACACCAACAGUGAUCACCUGACCUGCAAUCAGCACAGUGUUCAUCAGCGCUGAUGUCAGCAGUGAUGUCAGCACUUACCUGCAGGUGGUGAACAGAAUGUCCUGGUUCUGCGUUCAGGUCUAUUCGAAGUGUAAUGUGUAAUUACAGUAAGUGGCCAACAGGGGGCCCUCACCCUGAAAGAAGAAGCUUCCGGGAGCUCCGAGCACUAGCCGACCGUCCUAAAACAUGCAGGGACAUGAAGCAUUAGCGCCACCGUGUGGAUCAUCAUUAUCAUCAUGGUACUCUGUGAUUCCCACAGGAAUGACUCCA